CAGUCCCUAAUUGGGGCUGCCUCUGCACCUUGAAAAAUGCUGUGCUGUCUGCAGCAGUGACCAGACCUGGACUCGGCAGCUGGCUGGCUGCUUUUGGCAAAGCUGCUCUUUCUCCUGCGCAGGACCUUUGGCAGUACCGACUUCAGAAGGAUUUCUUCCCUCCAUGAAGUUUCUUCCCAGCUGGUACUACACCAGAGGCAGAUUUAGGAGAUAAAGUAACCUCCUCUGCUUCAGCAGUGAGACAAGCACUUAACCCCAGCUGAAUUGGUAAGAAAUAGCAGUGAAUAUAUUUCUGUAUGCAAGGAAAAUACAGAGAAAAGGAAUGACGCUGUAAACAAGGCAACAGGGUUCAAAUGUGUAGCUUUCCUGAUGAAUACCAGUUCUGUUCCAAGAACAGGACACAUUGCAAGCAUCUCUGGGAACAAAUUUUCUAGAAGUCGAUCACCAUUCAGGAAGCAUCAUCCUCUACAGCUAAAUCAGAACCACCACCAGGCAUCCACAGCAGCCAACAACUUGGCAGCAUCUUUUGCUGCUCAGUGACCAUGGAAAUGGGGCCAGGUUCCUCACACCAUCUGCUGCAGAGGAGAGGUGAGCACUUGGGACUGUUGUUUCAAAGCACCAUUAGAUGGAAGACACGCAAUUGGGAUGGAAGUAAUCACAUUUUAAAAAAACAAUCAAAGUUGGAAAUAAAAGUCGAGAAGCGAAAUCUUCACUCCAAAUUCAAGAUCUUUUGGUCUCACAGAAUAAACCCUGACUUUUAUUAACAAAGCAUUACUUUUGGGUACUUAUACUCACUUGUUCUGUGCUAGGGAUUACCAACACUAAUUACCAACACUAGGAAAACAGCUUUGACUAGAGCUGACUGGGAAAUUAGAAGUAUCUUGGGUUUCACACCAGAUUAAAACCAACAACUUUCAAUGGGCAGCAAGAAGCCCAGAAAAGCAAAUAGUCUGAAGCCUUUUGAUUCCAAGCCAGACUUGAACCUGGGUUUCCACUAUUGUGCAGAAGACAUCACAACUUAGGUGCUUUCCACCCCAUCGCUCUUGUUAUUCCCUACUCUUUUCCUGAGAAACUCGCCUAUGAAGGUCAGCUCAGCACUAACUGUGCUUUCACGAGUGCCAGGGCCAAAGCUGUUUUC